UUUGUUCCCAUAGCAACAGACGAGCUCCGGAAGCAGCCUACGUGGGAUCUUUGACGAGGAUGAACCUGUUGCCUCACUGUCACAAUUUUGAAGAAAUGACAAACGGUUUCAAAUUAAUUAUGUGUGAAUAGCAUUGUAACAAUAGCAGGAUGAGUAUAAGUAAAGUGACAUUUUUGACGAGUGAAGGUGAGUAUUUUGGCGAUUAAUGAUUAUAGAAAAUUGUAAUGUAUUUUGUAGCCUAUACUAAAUUAUCCAAAAGAUAUUUAAAAUUUGUAGUCUAUUUUGGGGGCUUUUCACCAUUUUCAGGCCCCAUCUGAGAGUAUAGUCUAGCCCUAGCUGGCUACUGACUGAGCCAGGCUGAGCCUCGAGGGCUGCAACGUAAUUAUCAGGCCACCAGAUGACAUUAUUUCUCUGAAAGCUAUGUGCGAUUUUAAAGACUACUUUGACUAAUGAUGUUCAACAUUCUUUUAACUUUAAAAUAUGUUUUUAUUUGUAUGUUUUAUUAGGCUUUAAGGCUAUGCAUUAUAACAACCUGGUAUGAAACAUGUUUUGAUGUAGGUGUUUCGUUACUGUACUGCAUUAUAAAAUGACAGUGCAGUUUUUCUCUAUUGUUAUGAGGGCUACACAUUUUGAGGAGAGAAUAUGAAGCUGAGCUCAUCAUCAGCAUCAUGAUCCGCAUAAUGGCCCUAGUAGUGCAUGAUAUUUUGAGAGGAUCAGAUUUGAAUGGAUAUGAUGUGAAAGACAGUUUGCAUUUUGAUGUCUGUAUGCCAUAUUUCAACUGAUGCCCUGUGCUGACGCAUGAUUCAUAGAUAUAGCCUAUAUAUUCCUAGCAUUAUGGAUUGCUUUCCAUUGCAAUGUAAUUUACACCCAGUCACAACUAUGACUCAUAAGCCUAUACAUUGGAUCAAUGCAAAGCCAUACAUGAGAGAUGAAGGUAUAGCACUAUCAAAUAUGUCACUAUCAUAACACCGAGGGAGAACAUAAAUAUUAGGCUAUCGCAUAGUUAAAAUUUUCCUGGCAGCAUAUCAUGACACGCAUGUGUACAAAAAUCACUCAAUAAAUAUUCGAUUCGUCAUCAUUACUCCAUUUGGGCCUACUCUGUAACAAAUUCAUAAAAAAUAGGCGGCAUGUAUCAACACUCUCUUAAUUGUCCAAGACCACCAAACCACCUGAUUUUCUUACUUUAAAAACAGUCCAUACGAGAAGAAAAAAAAAGAGAUAUUGAACUCAAGUGCUCGAAACAGUCUUGAGGGCUGUUCUUGAAAGCGCAUUCUCUGCUGCGCUUAGGCAGUCACAAGACUUGGACAUCCAUGAACAAAAACAAAGACACUACAAUUAGCCGACAUAGGUCAGGGUCAAGCCCAUAUGCCACUAAACAACUCUGCAUUGAACAGGUCUUGCCAUUUUGGAAACUUAUUUCACCCGCCGUUGCGCGCUUCGGAUGAUAUUUUCCCCAAUGGAAAUCUCAGCAUUAAUCCUUCCCAUCCAAACUUGACAUUGCAACAUUGUUUUACCUAAGCAGGAAUAAGAAGUGAAGUGGUGUUCUUAGCCCACUUUCAGUGAUGGGUUUGGACGUAAAGGAGGGGCGCAUGCCAAAGGUAGCGACCACCAUGGAAUAAAUUAAACCAAAGAUAUCAACAGUUGCCUACCACCCACUCGAAAUCGAUUGUAUUAGAAGCUCGCUGAACGUAUAAAACGGGACGUAUGAUUUCAAGACCGGCUGCAGACAACGGAAUCUUCGCUCAAUAAGCUACACAACCGACAACGCCUAGAGAGAUUUGAUACAGACAACUCGUGUCCACUUUUCAGGACAUACGGCUCCUUUAGUAACUUAAAUCAGAAAAGCCAUGCAGGCAGAAAGGAAAUGGCACAUACUUUUGAGUAUAAUCCUUAUGCUGAUCACCUCGAGCCAGUGCAUGGACAGCAAGGAAGUGAAGCAGAAAGGGAGAAGGACCCUGCUGGACCUUAUUUUACAGGUUAUCGGAGACAGCCAAUCAGGGGACAAGCCUUCAGUCUCCAGGCGCUAUAACAGUGGCCUCUUCCCUACAGCCCAAGAGAUGAGGUUCUCCUCUCGAGAAAAGCCUUUAUAUGUUCCUAGGCUGGAUAACAGUAGACCCAUAGGAAAUGGCACACUUUAUGAUUUGAAGAGUUCCCUAUUGGCACCCUGAAAGAGCCACAAUCCAUCCUCUCACUUGGCUAGUGAGGUAUCGUAUCACCGCAUCAUAACAAAAGAUUAUCAAUGGCAUCACCAACCAAGUUGCCCAGGGGCGGAGGCUCAUUAGCAUACUAAACUUGUGAAUGAUUCAUUCAGUUCAGGACACAUUGCGGAAUCUCAAACCACGAAUGAUCCGCCUCCUCCAGCUUCUUGGACAGCCAGUGGUGAGCGUCACAGGGAUGCAUCACAGGUGACGUGAGACCAGGACACUCACGUGGCACACAGUUUAGUCAGCUGUGAUCACACAGCCAUUUUCACCACAUUCACUGACUUCAUUUCACGUGUAAGAUGGAAAGACUAUGUUAAUGUGAAAGCCUUUUUUUGCUCAAGUGGAACAAUAGAAUCCAUGUGAUUUGUGUUGGGCUUUUGGAAUGUGGUCAGAAGUACUGAACGGGAAGUCUUUCAUACAUUUAGAGCCAAUUGAUUCAAUUUGUCAUUCUGUGCCUGGUAGAAGCAUUACUCAUUGCCUUUGAAAGAAAUGUGCACGGCUUUGAUAUAUCUUUGAAGUCAUUGUGAGAGGAAGGGUGGUGUUACAGUGCCUUUUAAGACAUUACAAAAUAGCAUAUGCUAACUGAAACUGAGCCAUACGAGUAAUUCCUUAAUAAUAAUCUGUACAAUUGGGUGAGCAAUGCUACACAUUCCCUCAGACUGUCUGUUACCAUCCAAAAUAUAUAUAUAUAUUUUUUUUUUGAAAUGCUGCGUUGUUAUUCCGGUCAAAUGUCGCGUCGAGGGUUAGUCAGAGGCUUUAUUGGGACAUCCCCGCCCAAUGUUGUCAAAGCAGCGUCACAGACCAACUGUGUAACAGGCAAGAGAACUACACAGGCUGCUGGCCAGACAGAGAGUACCUUGUGAGGAAGUCAAAAGGCUGCACAUUAGCAAGUGGUGCGUGCGCCUUUCCUUAAGACCCACAGUCACACUCGAUUGUCCAUUUUUUGCACGCAAGGAAGGAAAGGGAAAUACCUCCUGCACACAGUUUCCGUUCUCUUUGCCAAGGUGCACUAGGUAUCUCUCUUUUCUGACCAUCAGGUAAUCCAGACAUCUCUAGCAUCUCCAAGGCAAUAUUAUUGGACUUAGGCAAUACGUUUGAUGUCCUACCGGUUAGUGUUAGCAUUUACCGGCCAUUUGAACACUUACACAACUCACAUCUGAUCUGGAUUGGAGCCAGGUUAAGGUUUCAGGACCCUUAUUCCCCUUACGUAAAGACCCAUAGCCUGUUCAUCUUUUUAUAUUGGAGUGAUGAGUCGUUGUUUUCCAUAGUGCCCAGUGGUAUGUCGGGACUUCAAACGCAUUGCCUAAGCUUACUGUAGUGGUUCGUAAUUGAACCGAUCAUCUUCUGUGAUUUCUGCAUCAGAGAGUACUGUUCAUUCCUCAGUCCAGUCUGGUAAAAUUAGCACAGCAACUAGCUGCACGGAAUUAUUCUUAUGACAUUGAUAAGCAUUAGAACUGCCGGGCUAUAAUCUCCUUGCACUGUUAGCCUGAAUGCGUCUGACACCUGUGUGCUUUGCAUGUUUGGAGAGAGGAUGGGCUUGGCUGAGCUACAGAAUGUGUGCAAUGAGCCUCCAAGCCUGUUGGCUUGUCUUCAGUUGUGAGGAAAUCGGUGUAUGGGCAAUUCCACGGUAACAGAAUGACGCUGAGGCUCCAAUUUUCACUUUAAAAUGUACGCCAAACAAAAACCAUUGCUUGCAAAGUUAAACAAACCAUCUAUGCACAAAGGACUGCUUCUAACCAUUUCCACUGAACAUUUUACAAAAACACAUUUAUUCAAAGAAAAGUACAGAUGUAAAGCAUUGCACAGUGGAAUUCAGUAUAGCAGAGUAGAGAAUUGUUCAUUUCAGUACAGUAAAGAACAGAAGGGGACAACAGAGGUCAGUACAGUACAAUACAGUAAAUUACACUGCACUCUACUAUAGUGUCCUCUACUGUACUGUGCUGUACUAAACUCUACUGUACAGUGCUGCAUUGUACUGACCUAUACUCUACUGUUCUUUACUGUUCUGUACUCUACUGUACUGUACUGAGACAGGUUAAAGAAGGAUUUCUACGACCUUGAGACAAUUGAGACUUGGAUUGUGUGUGUGUGCCAUUCAGAGGGUGAAUGGGUAAGACAAAAGUGCCUUUGAACGGGAUAUGGUAGUAGGUGCCAGGCGCACCGGUUUGUAUCAAGAACUGCACUGUUGCUGGGUUUUUCACGCUCAACAGUUUCCUGUGUGUAUCAACGAUGGUCCAUCCAGCCAAUUUGACACAUUGGAGCAUUGGAGUCAACAUGGGCCAGCAUCCCUGUGGAACGCUUUUGACACCUUGUAUAGUCCAUGCUGAAUCUGUUCUGAGGACAAGUCAAUAUUAGGAAGAUGUUCCUAAUGUUUGGUAUACUCCGUGUAAAAAUAUAAUCAAAAUAUUUAAGAACUCAUAGUUGUUUUAGUCCAUCAGCUCUCAUCCAAGCUAGAACAUGUAUAGGCCUAUUACUUCAUAAUAUAAGCACAGGUGUGAUGGGUCUUUGUUGGUAUUUACAUGGCCUUACUUUAAAUGUUGUAAUAUUUAAACAUUUACCUAUUACUAAAAGGUUAUCUUAAAGCUGAAAUCCGUAUAGGGGGAAACAGCACCACUAUUCCGCCCUCUGCGCCAUUUUAUUUUUGUUUUAGUUUUGUUGAUGAAAUGGAAGACAGGAGCGUCAUCAUCAUGUGGUCGGUGACACUUUGCUUCUUGAAAGUCCAAUAUCUUGGAAAACUUUACUGCUGACAUGCAAAACAUUUUGGGACUGUAUCAACAGUGGGACUGACGGAGAAAAGAAGAAAACAAAUACAUCAAACUUGUGUCUGAGUGGAUUUUCCUUUUAAUGCUAAGAGGUUUCACAGAUGGGUUAUUUUUAUUUUCUUCUUCUUCAUUUUUGUAGAUAUUGUCCCAAGAGAUGUAAACCUGAAAGACAAGUUCAUAAAGCAUUUCACAGGACCAGUCAAGUUCUCAUCGGAAUGUAGAACACAUUUUCAUCGACUCUAUCACAACACAAGGGAUUGUUCAAAACCAGCAUACUACAAAAGAUGUGCAAGAUUGCUAACACGGCUAGCAAUGAGUCCACUCUGCACACAAUUGUAGACAUUGCAUGUUCAAAAUAUUGAGAGGGUUCUAUGUUUUGCCAAGGAAGUGCCUUCAAUUUGCCUUCAAUUUUCAUCACAUUAAGAACAUAGUAUUGUAAUUGUUUAUAGUAUUUUUAUUUUUGUUGUUGAUACUGUAUGUAUAUGAAAAUGUUGACAGAUUUUAUUGGUUUUAUGAAAUAGAUUAGCAUUUUAUUUUCAUGUAUCAUGUAUUUUUAAGAAAACCUUAAUUUAAUAUUGAAUACAUCUAUUUAUUGAAAUGUAUAUAAUUAUUCACAAUAAUUCUGAAAUAUUCAAUUAUUUUUCUUAAAGUUCUCAUCUGAUGAAGUGUGUGAAUUCAUCUCACUAAAUAUUAUUUGCUUUGUCAAUAUUACAUUUUUGAGACGGUCCCACCAUGGUCGUUUCUAUAUGUCUUUCACUGUCAUUGUCUACAUUGCAUUUAAUUUGGCACUUGAGCGAUUUCACACAAUGAAAACAUAUUGAAGGAUGACGAUGGUAAUAAUGCACUGCAGUACUGAACAAUUAAAAAAAUAUUCAAGCACA